rnacentral:lncRNA from 1 species
GUCAGCCUGGACUGUGGUCCAUCAUAAUCUCCUCCGAUAACUCCUCUCCCGGUGCAGGGGACGGGUGGCAUUGAUGACGGCAUUCUGGAUCCGGCAGCUCACUGGUGGUCACCAAAUGGAAAAUGGUUGGCAAAGACCCACGUCUAAGUAACCACAGUUUGUGUUAGCACAGACGUCCCUACGAGGAGGAGUGUUCUUUCAUGAAGAGAACAGCUAGCUCAGCCCGGAACUUAAACAGCCAUACCAAUGCUUUUCCUCGGGCCAGCAAGGUUCCUUCCAUGGUCAGCAGAGAUGUUUUCAGUGCACUUUCCAUCUCUUCACAUGGAAUACUAAAAAGAUGCAUGCUCCAAGGUGAAGUUCUGUGCUGCUUUGUCAGGGACAUUCAUGAGUGAAACAGUGUUUUCCCAUCUUACCUCUGUCUGUCUGUCCAUGCGUUAUCAUCCGUCCACCUGCCUUACCGCAAACGUGUGUGGUGAAGGAGACGAUGACAGUGGCACAUGUUGGAGACAUGCUAUAAUUCAUUGCAAGGCAUCCUAAGUCUUACCUGUUGCCAUCAAUUCUGCACACCCUUGCGAAUGUCAACACAGUGCAAAAGGCAAGUCACUUCUUAGCAAGCGUAUGAACAUAGUUUUAACCUGAAGAACACCCUGAAAUUAUCUCUGGCACUCCCAGGGGUCCACAGAAGGCAACUUGCGAACCCCUGCCUUAAAUAAUACAAGAAAUGGCCGGUAUCAUUCCUGAGACCUCAUCUGCUGUUGCUAGGACCUGGUGCCUCACCCUUUCUGGGAAAGCGAGAGCCGGAUUCUCAGCAUCCAGGAGGGUCUUUCUCUCCCUGCGCCUUAGUGUUUGUUUUCUUCGUUUCUUCUCUUAGAAAGCCCAGGUUCCCACCAUUGCAGAUCACUCCAGACUCAGGAAGUUCAUGGGUCUGAGCUGGGAUACUCACCACACCACUGUCCAUGCGUCUGUGCAGCCCCCACCCCCACCCCGAC